rnacentral:snRNA from 1 species
CAGUGCAGAUAUGAGGAUGAUCUUACUGAUCACCAGAGCUGAUUCAGCUGAUCUGGCUGGCUUGGAGAGUGUCUACUUCCUCUCUCAACACUUGACAUAUUUUCCUUAUGAAGCUGUGCUUAAUCUAAAAGGAUAACUUUCUACAAAUAGAGAUGGAUCAGUCUUAGGUCUAGAAUAUCUGAACAGCUGUACUCCCCAGCUAGAACCUCCACAUAAGCUCUAAGAAAAUGACAGAGCUAUAUCCAUAAAAGAAGUAGUCUUACUUGU